GGACUACAAGGGUUUCUAAUCCCAUUUGCUCCCCUAGCUUUCGUUCCUCAGCGUCAGUAAUGGCCCAGCGAGUCGCUUGCGCCACCGGUGUUCUUCCCAAUAUCUACGCAUUUCACCGCUACACUGGGAAUUCCACUCGCCUCUACCACACUCAAGUCUGCCAGUAUCCAGUGCAGUACCCGGGUUGGGCCCGAGCCUUUAACACCAGACUUAACAAACCGCCUACGAACUCUUUACGCCCAAUAAAUCCGGACAACGCUCGCAUCCUACGUCUUACCGCGGCGGCUGGCAC
rnacentral:rRNA from 1 species